CAGCCUGGACAGGACCAGCCUCUACGUCAACGGUUACAACGAACAGCCAGUGACGCAGCCAGUGACGCCCACUCCCACUCGGCCACCAACGACACCUCCAGGCCUCGAGC